UCGCCGCCGACGACGUCGCGAGAAGUCCACUGAACCUUAUCAUUUAGAGGAAGGAGAAGUCGUAACAAGGUUUCCGUAGGUGAACCUGCGGAAGGAUCAUUGUCGACACCUGCAAAGCAGAGCGACCCGUGAACCGUUUUUGAACGCCCGGGAUACCGGGGGGGCGCCUGUCCCCCCGGUAGCCCGAAAGCUCCGGACUCUAGGGGUGCAAACCACCCCAGGGUACGGAGCUCCAAACAAACCCCGGCGCGCGAAGCGCCAAGGUACUCCAACGAUAGGGCAUGCGCCCGUAGCCCUGGGUUCCAGUGUGCUCGGGCUGCUGUUCAACGUCAUAAAGUCUAAACGANNNGUGUGAAUUGCAGAAUCCCGUGAACCAUCGAGUCUUUGAACGCAAGUUGCGCCCGAAGCCUUGGCUGAGGGCACGUCUGCCUGGGUGUCACGCAUCGCGUUGCCUCCAAACCCUUCACCCUUCGGACGUUGCGGUGAUGGUCUGGAUGCGGAAGCUGGCCUCCCGCGGCCGCGAGCCACGGAUGGCCCAAACACGUGCUAGGGAAGCGAAGCGCCACGGCAUUCGGUGGUUGAUCCAAGCCCCAGAAGCAGUGCCGGCGGUGGCCGCGUCCGUCCCUAGCCCACGACCCUAAUCGUUAACCAACGCGACCUCAGGUCAGGCGGGGCUACCCGCUGAGUUUAAGCAUAUCAAUAAGCGGAGG
rnacentral:rRNA from 1 species